AACUGGGAACAGGAAUUCGAUCUCCCCCAGUUAUUAUUCUCUCAUUCAUCCGCUCAUGCAGUGCUUGUUGAAUGUGAACCAUGUGCCAGGCAUGGUUGCAGGUGCCGAGGCUCAAAAGAUGGACAGGACAAUUUCCCUGCCUCGGGACACUUGCAGUGCAGUGAGAGAGCCAAUGAGCAGUGCCUUACAGCCCAGAGUGCUAAAUGCUGCGACCGGAGUGGGCGCCGCGUCCAUGGGGACACAAAGAAAGGGUACCGGAGCGGAUUCUGUUGCUCCCCGACUCCCAGCACCCACACUGCCUUCCAGGGAAAGAUAUCCAGUCGCGGUGGAUACUUCUAGACUCAAGAGAUGGAGGCAGAAGGAAUUGGACAGAAGCUCCCGAAGAAUGUGCUGGUGCUCAGUUCCAUGCCUUCAGGCGUGGCAGGAGGUUGAGCAGACACCCCAUCCACCUGAUCCCUCACCACAGUCUAGAAACACCUAAUUUGUACCGUUACCUGAGUGAGAUGUAUAGCUUUAUUGUGGGAAGCCACUAAAGUUUGGGCAGUUACUACAGACCGAAGCGAUUCACGAAUAAACGAUGCAAGCCUCGGAA